AAAAAGAUAAGCUAAUAAAGCUACUAGGUUCAUACCCUACUUAUAAAGGUCCGACCCCUUUUCUUUUUA
rnacentral:tRNA from 1 species